CCUACGGGAGGCAGCAGUGGGGAAUUUUGGACAAUGGGCGCAAGCCUGAUCCAGCCAUGCCGCGUGCGGGAAGAAGGCCUUCGGGUUGUAAACCGCUUUUGGCAGGAACGAAACGGCGACUCCUAACACGGGUCGCUAAUGACGGUACCUGUAGAAUAAGCACCGGCUAACUACGUGCCAGCAGCCGCGGUAAUACGUAGGGUGCAAGCGUUAAUCGGAAUUACUGGGCGUAAAGCGUACGCAGGCGGCUUUGCAAGACAGGUGUGAAAUCCCCGGGCCUAACCUGGGAACUGCAUUUGUGACUGCAUAGCUAGAGUCUGUCAGAGGGGGGUGGAAUUCCACGUGUAGCAGUGAAAUGCGUAGAGAUGUGGAAGAACACCGAUGGCGAAGGCAGCCCCCUGGGAUAAGACUGACGCUCAUGUACGAAAGCGUGGGGAGCAAACAGGAUUAGAUACCCUGGUAGUCCACGCCCUAAACGAUGUCUACUAGUUGUCGGAGGGUAACUCCUUCGGUAACGCAGCUAACGCGUGAAGUAGACCGCCUGGGGAGUACGGUCGCAAGAUUAAAACUCAAAGGAAUUGACGG
rnacentral:rRNA from 1 species